AAGUCGUAACAAGGUUUCCGUAGGUGAACCUGCGGAAGGAUCAUUAACACGAAUUUUAUCCAAUAACAAACCAAACGUGAACUUUCCCCCUCCCUAUUCAAAUAUUAGAAAAUAAUAUUUGGUUAGGCUAACUUUUUUUUUACUUCUAAUAAUUUAAUCUAACACUUCGGUGUUUUAUUAAUAUUAUUAUUAGUUUCAAACCCCUUAAAACUUUUAACUUAAGUUGUUGCUUUCUCUGUAUUGAGACUCAACUUACUAAACUAAAAACUAUUCUUUAAUUAAAUUUGAAGAAUAUUUUUUCGAUUACGAAAAAAACAAAAGAACAACUCUUAACAAUGGAUAUCUUGGUUCUC
rnacentral:misc_RNA from 1 species